AUCGCUCCAGCCGAUAUACUAAAAUUGGAACGAUACAGAGAAGAUUAGCAUGACCCCUGCACAAGGAUGACACACGAACAAAAAGCUAGGAAGCGAAAAUACUCUUU